UACGUAGGCGGCGCUGUCAGUCGGGUGUGAAAUCCCUCGGCUCAACCGAGGAACUGCGCCCGAUACUGCAGUGCUUGAGGGAGACAGAGGUAAGCGGAACUGAUGGUGGAGCGGUGAAAUGCGUUGAUAUCAUCAGGAACACCAGUGGCGAAAGCGGCUUACUGGGUCUCUUCUGACGCUGAGGUACGAAAGCUAGGGGAGCGAAGGGGAUUAGAUACCCCCGUAGUCCUAGCUGUAAACGUUGAGCACUUGAUCGAGGGCCCCCCCAUAGGCUCUCGGUCGUAGCGAAAGUGUUAAGUGCUCCGCCUGGGGAGUAUGGUCGCAAGGCUGAA
rnacentral:rRNA from 1 species